ACGGGCUCCACCUGGCUCACCUGAGGGGACGCCAAGUGUCUGAGCGGGGAGGCCAGCCCUGCCUGCGGGAGGAGCCCUGUCUGAAUGGUCUCUCGCCUGCCCCACCCUCACCCCACCCUGAAUGGAGAGGCCCUGGAAGAUGAAGCACCACCUGGAAAGGGAGGCGACGUACAGAACAGAGGCGCCGCUACCGAGCUAGCUGAACGGACCAUGCCUCAGUCUAGCCUGGAACUUCCUCCCACCACAGCCUGCAGAGACUCGGAGUACAGUGCCAUGCUCAUCCUAGAUCUUUCUUACUGGUUGCGGAUCCGCAGCAGAUUUUUCUCCUGGGCCGACAGCUUCCUUGGGUCAGGAUAGACAGACAGCUCACUGGCUGUUUCUUCAGACCGGCUCCGGGUCUGUCCCAGCUGUUUCUCAAGCUCUCGAACCUGAAGGUGGUUCCACAACAGGUCUGCAGUCAGACUCGACCCCUCAGAGGGGCCACCCUGUGAUGUGAUGGAUGUACGACCCCCCUGGACAGAUGACACCACAGUUUCAGAUGGAUGUGGAGGCCCCUAGGAGAGGGACUGUGGUGGGGGAGGGAUGGAAGGGGUCUGUGGCAGCAUCCUGAGCAGAACAAGGGAAGACACCAGAGAGGCUUUGCUUGACAAAGAGAAACUUCAAAGUAAACUAGAAAAAUCACCCUAUCUCUGAGGCCAAGAAGCAGAUGUGGAGCCCCGGGAACUUGGGAGGGAAAGGACAGCAGGUCUCAGGAAUAGCUGACAGAGAAAUUCCUGACAAAGUACCAGGAAUAGCUAACAGACAGGCCACCUGAGCCUGGGGAGCUCCUUGGGAGGCCACAGGUUCCUGCAGGAGAUGCUGCGAGGGAGGGCAGGGUGUGGAAGCUGGGAGACCAGCUCAGAGCCUCGCUGGCUGUGUGACUCUGCACAGAUUACGUCUCUGAAUCUCAGGUCCCUCGUCUGUUAAGGGGGUCUAUGAGUAUACCCUGUAUAACGUUAUGAGAAUUCAGUAUCCCAACUUGUCUGAGCCUGGGACUCCCCAAGACGUUUCUUGGGGUGACAAAUCUUGGGGCCCAUUCCAGGGGAAGAACCCUGGGAUCUUCAUUUUAAACAGGUGCUAUAGAUAUUUGUUAGGUUAGGCAACUUUGAGAAACCCCAAAAUGGCCCGGGGGAAGCCCUCAGCACAGGGCAGGUGGAAGUCAUCCUAUAAAACAAUGGCUUUAUUACAUUGAGUUUAACGCGGAUAACCCCUAGGGCCCUUCUAACCCUGAUUUCUGUGUCAACACAACAUAAAUGGUGUGACCCUGAAAGUGUUAAUCACUCAGUCAUGUCCGACUCUUUGCGACCACGACCACGUGGACCGUAGCCCACCAGGCUCCUGUGUCCAUGGCCAGGAGAAAAAUUCACUGGGAUCCCUGGUAAAGGGCUGCAGGAUCAGCGCCCUCGCAUGGCACUGUGUGGUAAUUCCAUUUAAGCCGUAAAGAACACUUGCUUUUAACCAUUUAUUUACACAGCUUUACAACACUAACGAUAAUAACUAAAGUGCUGAGUGCUUAUUAUGGCCAGGCACUGUGCUGGGUGCUUCCCAAAUGUUAUUUUGUCUAAUCCAUAACAAUCCUAUAAAGAAAGGUAUUAUUAUCUCCAUUUUACAGGUGCGGGGACUGAGAUGCAGAGAGAUGAAGAGAUUUGUUCAAAGACACCAAACAUGUAGACCAAUGACUGAGGCCAGACUCAAACUCAGGUCUCAGGAAGCUCAGGGCCACACACUGGUUGUUAGUUACAGUUUUUUAGAGACCUCUUCAUCUGGCUUCAAGGAUCCCACAGGAGACCCUGAGGGCAAAAGCCAGUGGAGAACCUGGGGUGAAGGCAAGCCUGCACGUGGCAGAUAGUGGAAGUGGCCCACCUAAUUGUGCGCCUCUUAGUUUCGUGGUCCAGCUAACCUCAGACAGCGUUUCCUCCAUGCCAGGCACUGUGGUAAGCGGUUUACACAUGUGCACUCAACUCAGUCCCCCCACAACCUUAGGGCAGAUGCUGUCAUUAUCCACAGUACAAAGAGGAGGAAACUGAGACACAGAGAUGACCCAGCUUGCCUGAGGCCACACAGUUGGACGAGGAUCUGUUGAGCCCGACCCCUCCAGGUCCCAGGUGAGGACAGGAGCUGCUGGAUGUUCACAUCUUCGCCAACCUCACUAGUCAAAACCUGAAAAAGGUGGGGCCGUCUGUAUGACCCAAAGCACAAUAUGUGCAGAAACAGUGCUGGGUGCCUGGCGUUCCCAGAAGACCCGGCCUCCACUUGCACAACCACCCCCUCUCCAGCCUCCCCACCUCGCAGGACAGUUGAACACACUGUAUGAACAGCUCUCCCUGGGAAAGCAGUAAACCCACCUUUCCCAGCACUUCCCGGUGAUGCUCAGAGCAGACAAGGAGCUGGUGACACUGCCCAGGUGGGGCCGCCUGCUCUUGACACAUUCUGGGAUGAGUGAAUCACAAAGAUGACCAAGACCUGCUUCCUAAAUUUGUUCACCUGUCACCCUGAACUGAGAUUGUUCUGGAGGUUACAGGGACGACCUCACCACAGGGCCUUGCCCUCUGUGCAAAGCCACAGACAAGGGGCCUUGUCUGAGUGCAGCAAGGCAGGGGCCUACCAAAUGUCAGCCGGGGAUGUUUGCUUCCAGCAGGGCCCAGAUUUGUGGCUGUUACAGGGAGAUGUUCGGGCUCAACCUCGAGGCUCUGAGGUAGAAGCAGCACACCGCAGCUUGUGCCCUGGGCCCCUCUGUAGCCUGUCACGGGAACUGAUCUAGCGUACCGAGUCUCUGGUGCUUAUUUCCACAAUAGAACUCUGUUUUGGAAAUCUUGGCUGGUCUGAGUGGUUCCAGCAGGGAAGACAAAUGCCAGAGAAUUCACUAUGUAAAUAAAAAUAAAUAAUGAACCAGCUGGGCCUGCCUCCCAA